UACGAAGGGGGCUAGCGUUGCUCGGAAUCACUGGGCGUAAAGCGCACGUAGGCGGCUUCUUAAGUCAGGGGUGAAAUCCUGGAGCUCAACUCCAGAACUGCCUUUGAUACUGAGAAGCUUGAGUCCGGGAGAGGUGAGUGGAACUGCGAGUGUAGAGGCGAAAUUCGUAGAUAUUCGCAAGAACACCAGUGGCGAAGGCGGCUCACUGGCCCGGUACUGACGCUGAGGUGCGAAAGCGUGGGGAGCAAACAGG
rnacentral:rRNA from 1 species